UGUCUCUCAAACUUCUCCCAUUUCUCAUCAUUGUGACCCAAGGCAACCAACACGUCUCUUAAUCUUAUUCUCUCUCUAUCGCUACAUUACUGGGAUCUUCUAAGCCAAAUGCUCAAACCCUCUCUCAUCUAUUCGUUGUCUAUCACACUCCACAACCAAAAACCCUAGAGACCAAUUCAACCAACAAGCCAAAUCCACACCUUGUUGCGUCUCAACCUUCUUCCAGUUUCUUGCGCCACCACCGAAAACCCAAGAACCAUAGAAACCCUUUCCACCAAUUACAUAAAUCUAUUCCAAAUUUCUCCAUGCCUACGAGACUACCAUGUGGCCAAAUGGUUAGCGAAUUCAAUUUUUAUCAUUCUUUUUAACUUAGGGUUUUGGAUUUGCAGGUAAUUGCCUCCAAAUUGAGCACUCCAGUAGCCCUCGACCUCUUCAUCCAUCUUUCAAGGACUCUAAUUGGGUUUACAUUCACAAAUUUACAAACAAAAAAACUGAAGGAAGGAACAUUAAUCAAUAACUUUAGCAAAGAAACUUGUUGGUCAUGGUUUUUGACAAGGUGAAAUUAGAUAAGCAAAAGGAAAAUGAGGAUAUGAUAGCACAACUGAAGGAUUGCAAGCCAAGGGCGGACCAACAACAUCUCCAGAGGAUGUUUUCAAGAAAAAUUCAUAUAAUUGUAAGAAACAAAAGUAUUACCACAAGGGAGGGGCAAAACCAUUUCAUCCAACAUGCAAGAAAGGCUCGCAAGGAUAAGAUGAAGAAAAAGAAGGAUGGAGUUAAAGGAGAAAGUAUUCAAGAAGCACUUGAGGUAGUGAUGGUGAUCUUUCAAAUGACAAUGAUACAUGUGCUGAUCUAAAGACCAUGACAUGGCUGAUUAUUUAUAUUAUGUAUUUUGUUGUUGGUUUCAAAUAUGCACACGGUAUACCUGUUUUGUUAUCGACUCAAUGCCUUAAAAACUUGUUAGCAUCUCAAUAUGCUUAGAAGUGUUAGGAUGCUUAUGUUAGCUUUUGAGAUAUAGACUUGGUGCAUGUAUUGGAUAUAAUCUAACUUAUUGAUCAAUGAAAUGUGAUUAACU